rnacentral:rRNA from 1 species
UAGGGAAUCUUCGGCAAUGGACGAAAGUCUGACCGAGCAACGCCGCGUGAGUGAAGAAGGUUUUCGGAUCGUAAAACUCUGUUGUUAGAGAAGAACAAGGACGUUAGUAACUGAACGUCCCCUGACGGUAUCUAACCAGAAAGCCACGGCUAACUACGUGCCAGCAGCCGCGGUAAUACGUAGGUGGCAAGCGUUGUCCGGAUUUAUUGGGCGUAAAGCGAGCGCAGGCGGUUUCUUAAGUCUGAUGUGAAAGCCCCCGGCUCAACCGGGGAGGGUCAUUGGAAACUGGGAGACUUGAGUGCAGAAGAGGAGAGUGGAAUUCCAUGUGUAGCGGUGAACUGCGUAGAUAUAUGGAGGAACACCAGUGGCGAAGGCGGCUCUCUGGUCUGUAACUGACGCUGAGGCUCGAAAGCGUGGGGAGCAAACAGG